ACAGAGGUGGGAAGUGCACAAGCAUUUGGGGAAAUGGAUAGGGCAAGAGUUCCUUGGCUCUUACUCGGAAGCAUCUUGAGGUGACUUCCCAGACUCACUUCCAGCCUUGCAAAUCCAGAAACACCCGCAGUAUGGCAGAAAUACCAAGGUCUUUUCACAUACACCCACCAAAGAGCUACAGCAGGCUGCUCCCUUAAUGCAGCGUGAACUGCUUUCCUGACUGAGACAGCCAUCUCCCUGUCCCUGGGAUCUGCGGCUGACUCAUCUGUCCUCAGAGUCAGGCACAUAUAUGAAACAGAAUUCGCAGUUCACAGUCUUCCACUAAUGUUUUGCCCCCAAAGAUUAUACAAUCACCA
rnacentral:lncRNA from 1 species